UAAGUUGACUGUGGAGUGAAUCAUUGUUACACUAUUUCUUACUUUUUAUAUUUUUUAGAAUAGUUCUAAUAUUUUGUAAACAAUAAAAAAGAAUAAGAAAGCAUGUCAAAUUAAUAAAACUUGCAUUCCAGCCUGUAGUGUUAUGCACAACCUAACAUGUACAUUAUUUCAUGGCAAACUACUUUGCAAUGGUUACAAUAUUGAUAAACUUAUAGGACUGUAAAUAUGAUUUUAUGAUUAUGUACAUUGGUCAGCACAGAAUAUUAAAACGAAAUAUGUUACAAUUUUGUUUUGUAUAGUGUAUGCUGAAGAUAUAAAGAAGCUGCUCUUUAGUUUGUCUAAACAAGAGAUGAAAGAGGUUUUUGACAGAUAUUCUGCCAGGACUCCAGAACCCCUCACUGCCCAAUUCAGUGGUCGCAUUGAUAAGGAAACAGCAGUAAAAGCACGCAAAGAGAAACAAGGACAAGGAACCAGCACUCAACUUUUCCCAGCAAGGGAAGAGCAAGAAGUCCUGCAAGAAGCAAGCUGUAUUUUUCAAGAGCCUGCCAGUGGCUCCAGGGUAGUAAGAAAGUGCUCAAAAUGCAAAAGACCAGGCCACACCAGAAGAAAAUGUCCUGAAUAAAUGUUUAAAAAAAAAUUCUUCACUGUAUGAGUACUUUUUUAGUAAACUGUGCAAGAAAACCAUUUCCUUCAAAAAUCAAUAGUAUUAACAU